rnacentral:tRNA from 1 species
GGUUCCAUAGUGUAGCGGUUAGCAUGUCUGCUUUACACGCAGAAGGGUCCUGGGUUCUCACCCCAGUGAAGCUA